GACUCAACACCUCGCAACAAAUUUUGUAAAUAUUCUGUGGGGGCUUGAUCCUGAAACAUAAACACUUCUUCCUAUUGAGGCACUGAGGAAAAACAGACCCCCUCAUUUAUUAUGUGAUAUCCAGAAGACUAAGGAGAUUUUGAUCUCCUUUUUCAGGGACAUCUUCUUCAGUGAGAAAAAUGAAAUGUCAUCAUGCUAAGAGAUUUGGACCGGCUUUAUAAAUUAAACAGUGUGCGAUGACAGCUUUGGGGCGGGAAAGUGCCUUAACGUAAAUAAGCAUUGUACCCCCAGAGGAAGAGUUGUAUUCUGCUUAAAUCAAGACUGCAAAUGACAGGUUACCUAACUGCCUGUUGCUUAUCAUUAUGCCUGAAACAGAAACAGAGGGUGAACUCUUGUCGGUGUUAGAGCCCACAGAAAUGGUUCAGUCAUGGAAAACCUGUGCUACAGACCUCAAAGCUGCGAGCAGAAGUUCUAGGAUGUGAUCUGGAUUAAUUAAGUCUCUCUUCUUCAUUAAGAAUAUUAACUCUGGAGUCUGACAACAGCAACGUGAAUAGGAAGCUGCUGUUACAUGGCUUACAUUUUCAACAGAAAAACUCAGAUAAUGAAGCAUUUCACAAAAGCCUUUCAAGUGUCUUCUUGGCUCCAAAAGGUCUGAUUUUAAAACUCUUCCACGUAGUAGCACAACACUCAUUCAAACAAUACGACUUACACUGAUAAUAUACCACAUGGGGAUAUUGAACUGAACUGAGUGUCAAAAUAAAUAAUCUAAGUUUGGUGCCUGUGUGUUAUUGAAUUUUAUUGUCCAGUUAACCAAAAAGCUAUUUUACUGAACUGAAGUCUGAAGCCGAUUUUAGCCUGCUGUUUCAGAAUCUGACGUUGUCCAGUGUUUAGAUAUGCCAGCUGAAGUUUGUUUGCACUCUUCCUGUCAGUAACGGUAGAGAUAUUACCCAUAUCUAAAAAUUAGGCCAGUUAUUUUGUUGCCAAAAUGUAAAUAACAUUUUUCAACCUACUUUAUUCAAAAGUUCUUGUUUGUACAAUAUGGAGUCUUUCAAUGUAAAUAAUUAACAUAUGAAUAGACUGUAUUGCUGUUCAAUGAGACUGGGAGGCAAUGGAAUAAUGUCUGAUGACAGC